UUUAAGGUUUAGGUUGAGAUUAAGGUAAGAGUUAGAUUCAGGGUUAGGUUUUAGGUUGAGGUUAAGGUAAGAGUUAGAUUUAGGGUUAGAUUUAAGGUUUAGAUUGAGGUUAAGGUAAGAGUUAGGUUUAGGGUUAGAUUUACGGUUUUGGUUUGGGUUAAGG